UACAGAGGUGCCAAGCGUUAGGCGGAAUCACUGGGCUUAAAGCGUGUGUAGGUGGAGAUCUAAGUACCUUGUGAAAUCCCACGGCUCAACCGUGGAACUGCUGGGUAUACUGGGUCUCUUGAGCCAACUAGGGGCGAGCGGAACAAAUGGUGGAGCGGUGAAAUGCGUAGAUAUCAUUUGGAACGCCAAUGGUGAAAACAGCUCGCCGGGGUUGUGCUGACACUGAGACACGAAAGCCAGGGGAGCGAACGGG
rnacentral:rRNA from 1 species